AGUGAACGCUGGCGGUAGGCCUAACACAUGCAAGUCGAACGGCAGCACAGAGGAGCUUGCUCCUUGGGUGGCGAGUGGCGGACGGGUGAGGAAUACAUCGGAAUCUACUCUGUCGUGGGGGAUAACGUAGGGAAACUUACGCUAAUACCGCAUACGAACUACGGGUGAAAGCAGGGGAUCGUCGGACCUUGCGCGAUUGAAUGGGCCGAUGUCGGAUGAGCUAGUUGGCGGGGUAAAGGCCCACCAAGGCGCCGAUCCGUAGCUGGUCUGAGAGGAUGAUCAGCCACACUGGAACUGAGAGACGGUCCAGACUCCUACGGGAGGCAGCAGUGGGGAAUAUUGGACAAUGGGCGCAAGCCUGAUCCAGCCAUACCGCGUGGGUGAAGAAGGCCUUCAGGUUGUAAAGCCCUUUUGUUGGGAAAGAAAUCCAUCUGGUUAAUACCCGGGUGGGAUGACGGUACCCAAAGAAUAAGCACCGGCUAACUUCGUGCCAGCCGCCGCAGUAA
rnacentral:rRNA from 1 species